rnacentral:rRNA from 1 species
CCUACGGGAGGCAGCAGUGGGGAAUAUUGGACAAUGGGGGGAACCCUGAUCCAGCGACGCCGCGUGAGUGAAGAAGUAUUUCGGUAUGUAAAGCUCUAUCAGCAGGGAAGAACAAUGACGGUACCUGACUAAGAAGCACCGGCUAAAUACGUGCCAGCAGCCGCGGUAAUACGUAUGGUGCAAGCGUUAUCCGGAUUUACUGGGUGUAAAGGGAGCGCAGGCGGCGCGUUAAGCCUGGUGUGAAAGUCCGCGGCCCAACCGCGGGACUGCAUUGGGAACUGGCGCGCUGGAGUGCCGGAGGGGUAGGCGGAAGUCCUAGUGUAGCGGUGAAAUGCGUAGAUAUUAGGAGGAACACCAGUGGCGAAGGCGGCCUACUGGACGGUGACUGACGCUGAGGCUCGAAAGCGUGGGGAGCAAACAGGAUUAGAUACCCCAGUAGUC